GGACAGAGGAGGUUGUUCACUCAGCUCGUCAGCAGAAGAUACCAAAAUCCAGCCAGGAAAUCACAAGCUAACAUGCAGUGCAGUAGUAUCUCUAAUAGGAAAAAAAACCACACUUUCCUUACCGCACGAAUGACAAAAGGUUAACAGUUAAAGUUCAAGCACUAUGAAGCACAAGCACACCAUGAAGUAAUAACAGAGCACAGAUGUGAAAAAUCUUCAUCCAUGGACAAAAGCGUAUCGUGCACAAAGCUGAGACCAAGCCACAAGACACUUGGGUAUGUUAAAAAAAAACAAACCAUAUGCUGCUCCAGAGAAAGAUCAUUAAACCAGAACUAUGAGACAUGACGAUCAUCAGAAACAAGGAUAUCCUCUUUCCCUUCAUUUUCCUGUCUUAACUAACCAGAAGAUAUUAUGGUAGGAGUCUUAUGCUGGAGUGCUUUACAAUUCCAGAUUCAAGUCACAACAUUAUAUUUAAAGACCAAAGGAAAGGAACCUGACUUUUCUUUUUUUCUUCUUUUUUUUUAAUUUGGCAUGUUCCAAUCAAAUCAGCCAAAUCAAUUCCAAAUCCGUGAGUCAUUCAAGAACCACAUGUGGCCCUACUACUGGCAAACAUCCUCCACCUCCACCUGGGGCUUCAGGUGCUUCCAGAUCCUUUGCUGAGCAUCUUAUGUGCAGGCCCGCCCAAGCCUGGAGGCUUGGGGUUCGGAUGUCCCCGAGUUUCGGUUGACCUCAGGCAUAUGGCCACAGGAACAAGCUAGGGAGGAAUCUCCCAUUUCCAUAAAGUCAGCAUAUAGCCAAGAUCUUCCCAUUGGAAGUGAAAAUGGGAGGCUAACUAUGCCUUGCCUCAGUCAGGGUACUAUAUCCCCUGCCAUGCUCACAGUUUUCCCUAGCCAGUGGGAAAACCACCUUUCGUAUCAGGAACCGGACAUGUUGAUCUCUAAGUAAAUCUGAAUUUCAUGAUGUAUCCAUGGGCACGGAGCCUGUCAUUUUCUCCACGGCCUGUUUGAGGGAUGGGGACUGAGGUACACUUCCCAAGAUGAUAGCUACAAUAUUUUACCCACAAUGAGAUUAUCAGGUUUUGCAAUGUUAUCUUUUUAAUUUCAGUCUGAGACCACAUGAAGGUCCACUUGACUGAUUUUAUUGCCUUGCCUAAGAGACACCAAACCCUUGAUGAGAAAUGACUUGCUGAAGCUAAUCACGGAAAAGAUCGAGAUGCCUUCAGUGGGCACGGGGAAUCACUUCAAAGAACUUGCCUCCAACAAAACAUCUCUUCCACUUACAACGUGUGCCCUUAGGGUUCCAGGGCAGCCAGGGGGUGCCGCUUUAUUCCUUGCAGCUAUUGAAUAUCCAAUUAGCUAUACAAAAAAAAAUAUCCUGUUCUGUCUAUGACUGACCACAGAACUGCAACCAAUCCAGGCAAAAUUACCUCCUGCCUACAUGAUCCACAUAUGCUUGACCUCAAGGCUUGAUUAUCACAAUGCACCACAGCCAGGAAUGAAAACAUUAACCCAGAAAAUUGUUCCAACUGGUUUGAAUGCAGAAACUUAGCUAUUCAGCCAGACGUACUGCUGAAAAGACAUUAUUCCAGGACUCUGCUCUCUAUACUGGCUCUCUGUUAACUGCAGUCAAGGUCAAGGUUCUGGUAUUGAUCUUCAAAGCCCUUCACCAAUGGCUCAAGCUACCUGAGAGACCACCUCUGCAACCAGGACCUGUAAAACAUGUAUGGUCCUUGGGAACAAUGGGAUUAUAAGGCUCAAGAAUGAAACUCAUGCAAGCAAGACAAAGAUUUCUCAGCCCCAGAACUCAUUGCUGGGAAAGAUUAAAGUGAUUGCAGCCUUCAGAGUGAAGCAUAACCCUUAGUUGUUGGCACAGCUUUCCCACAAUUAAAGUAAAUUCCCACCAAUACAAAGGCAGAAGAGAGAGAGCAAGAGAAGGGAGGUGGGGACGGAUAAAAAACCAAAACCAAAGGUCCUCCAUUUUUACCAUUAACUUCAGCGAGGGGCGAGCUAAGCAAGGCGAAGGUCCUCUGAAAACACUUUAAAAAGAUAAGCUUACCUUUACGUAUCUAAGGUUCUUAGAUAUUAUAAUACAAAAGAUGAGACAGCAAUAAAAAAGGUUUACAUCACAGAAGGGUGAAAUCAAUGACCGGUCUCACUGACUUCACUGGAACUUGGAUUUCAGCCAGCAUGUUUACUGUGCUGCUGGGGCUGACCCACACUGGCACUCCCACUCAUGCUAGCUGACACCCGUGACAGCACAACGAAAGGAACUUUGCAUGAAAAGCCUAUUCAAGAGAGAGCCUAAUUCACUAGAGGGAGUCCUUGUUCAAUGUAAUCUUAAUUGCUUCCAGUCCUGCUGGCCAAAAUUGUCACAAAAAGGACAAAUAAACAACUUCCUCAACAA